rnacentral:rRNA from 1 species
UCUGCCUGGUAGUGGGGGACGAACGUUUCGAAAGGAACGCUAAUACCGCAUACGUCCUACGGGAGAAAGCAGGGACCUUCGGGCCUUGCGCUAUCAGAUGAGCCUAGGUCGGAUUAGCUAGUUGGUGAGGUAAUGGCUCACCAAGGCGACGAUCCGUAACUGGUCUGAGAGGAUGAUCAGUCACACUGGAACUGAGACACGGUCCAGACUCCUACGGGAGGCAGCAGAU